GGUCUUCAGGAGAAGCGUAUUAUAUUGCGUUACGGUAAUCAACGGUUCAGGCAAGUUUUUCAAGUUCUUUUUACUUAAACUCUUUUAAGAGUGGUUUCAGACAGAUAUGCUUAUGAAUUGUACUCUGUACAUAUUGCAUGUAUUCAUCAGGUAUGAAAGGCUGAUCACCUUCAUUACCAGUCAGUUCAGAUAUAAUUGUUAUGUUCAUUUUCAAUGUUCAUUCAGCUUUGAAAUUUUGUUCAUGCUAAUUCACAACUACAUUGUGAAGGAUAGCCAGCUUAUUAUUCAAACUCUUUCAAUCAUGAUAUAUCUUUACAUUGUUUUUAAACUUGCUGGGCAACUUUCAUGCUCACCCUUGCUAUAUCAUGAUAAAACAUUGCAGAUAAGGCGAAUACGGCCAGUUACAGGAAAAGAAAAAUGCCAAGUUCAGCUUGGGAUAGAAUGUACAGCUAAUUUGUAAAAGUAUAGUUGAAGAAUAGUAUUGUUAUGUGUUAGAUAGUUUCUGAAUUGUGUAUAAGUUAAGGUUACUCGACCUUGGGGAAUAGUGUGUAAUGUAAUGUAUAAACAAUUUAUGUUUAUAUCUUCCGCAACAGUUGUAGAAAUAGCGAACCGGAUCCGCGGCGAUUCGGGACCCGGAUUCGGGGCUGCUACAAAAAUAGAUAUCGAUAUUGAUACUGGUAUAUUAUUUUUUUUAUAUUAUUA
rnacentral:lncRNA from 1 species